rnacentral:rRNA from 1 species
UACGGAGGGUGCAAGCGUUAUCCGGAUUCACUGGGUUUAAAGGGUGCGUAGGUGGGCUGGUAAGUCAGUGGUGAAAUCUCCGAGCUUAACUUGGAAACUGCCAUUGAUACUAUCAGUCUUGAAUAUUGUGGAGGUCAGCGGAAUAUGUCAUGUAGCGGUGAAAUGCUUAGAUAUGACAUAGAACACCAAUUGCGAAGGCAGCUCGUUACACGAAGAUUGACUCUGAGGCACGAAAGCGUGGGGAUCAAACAGG